UACAGAGGUCUCAAGCGUUGUUCGGAUUCAUUGGGCGUAAAGGGUGCGUAGGCGGCGAGGCAAGUCUGGUGUGAAAUCCCGGGGCUCAACCCCGGAACUGCACUGGAUGCUGCUUUGCUAGAGUACUGGAGAGGGAACUGGAAUUUACGGUGUAGCAGUGAAAUGCGUAGAUAUCGUAAGGAAGACCAGCGGCGAAGGCGAGUUCCUGGACAGUUACUGACGCUGAGGCACGAAGGCCAGGGGAGCAAACGGG
rnacentral:rRNA from 1 species